UGCCAGCAGCCGCGGUAAUACGGAGGGGGCUAGCGUUGUUCGGAAUUACUGGGCGUAAAGCGCGCGUAGGCGGACUGGUCAGUUGGGGGUGAAAUCCCGAGGCUCAACCUCGGAACUGCCUUUGAUACUGCAAGUCUGGAGUCCGGAAGAGGUGGGUGGAAUUCCUAGUGUAGAGGUGAAAUUCUUAGAUAUUAGGAAGAACACCGGUGGCGAAGGCGGCCCACUGGUCCGGUACUGACGCUGAGGUGCGAAAGCGUGGGGAGCAAACAGGAUUAGAUA
rnacentral:rRNA from 1 species